rnacentral:rRNA from 1 species
UACGUAGGGGCCUAGCGUUGUCCGGAUUUAUUGGGCGUAAAGGGCGCGUAGGCGGUCAGCACAAGUCAGUUGUGAAAUCUCCGGGCUUAACUCGGAAAGGUCAACUGAUACUGUGCGACUAGAGUGCAGAAGGGGCAACUGGAAUUCUCGGUGUAGCGGUGAAAUGCGUAGAUAUCGGGAGGAACACCAGUGGCGAAGGCGACUUCCUGGCCUGUUCUUGACGCUGAGGCGCGAAAGCUAGGGGAGCAAACGGG